rnacentral:rRNA from 1 species
UAGGGAAUCUUCGGCAAUGGACGGAAGUCUGACCGAGCAACGCCGCGUGAGUGAAGAAGGUUUUCGGAUCGUAAAGCUCUGUUGUUAGAGAAGAACGUUGGUAGGAGUGGAAAAUCUACCAAGUGACGGUAACUAACCAGAAAGGGACGGCUAACUACGUGCCAGCAGCCGCGGUAAUACGUAGGUCCCGAGCGUUGUCCGGAUUUAUUGGGCGUAAAGCGAGCGCAGGCGGUCCUUUAAGUCUGAAGUUAAAGGCAGUGGCUUAACCAUUGUACGCUUUGGAAACUGGAGGACCUGAGUGCAGAAGGGGAGAGUGGAAUUCCAUGUGUAGCGGUGAAAUGCGUAGAUAUAUGGAGGAACACCGGUGGCGAAAGCGGCUCUCUGGUCUGUAACUGACGCUGAGGCUCGAAAGCGUGGGGAGCAAACAGGAUUAGAUACCCUGGUAGUCCACGCCGUAAACGAUGAGUGCUAGGUGUUAGGCCCUUUCCGGGGCUUAGUGCCGCAGCUAACGCAUUAAGCACUCCGCCUGGGGAGUACGACCGCAAGGUUG